rnacentral:rRNA from 1 species
GACGAACGCUGGCGGCGUGCCUAAUACAUGCAAGUCGAGCGAGACUCUUCGGAGUCUAGCGGCGGACGGGUGAGUAACACGUGGGCAACCUGCCUGUAAGACUGGGAUAACACCGGGAAACCGGUGCUAAUACCGGAUAAUCCUUUUUCUCUCAUGAGGAAAAGCUGAAAGUCGGUUUCGGCUGACACUUACAGAUGGGCCCGCGGCGCAUUAGCUAGUUGGUGAGGUAACGGCUCACCAAGGCGACGAUGCGUAGCCGACCUGAGAGGGUGAUCGGCCACACUGGGACUGAGACACGGCCCAGACUCCUACGGGAGGCAGCAGUAGGGAAUCUUCCGCAAUGGACGAGAGUCUGAUGGAGCAACGCCGCGUGAGCGAUGAAGGCCUUCGGGUCGUAAAGCUCUGUUGUUAGGGAAGAACAAGUACCGGAGUAACUGCCGGUACCUUGACGGUACCUAACCAGAAAGCCACGGCUAACUACGUGCCAGCAGCCGCAGUAAUAC